rnacentral:rRNA from 1 species
AUUGAACGCUGGCGGCAGGCUUAACACAUGCAAGUCGAGCGGAGAUGAGGUGCUUGCACCUUAUCUUAGCGGCGGACGGGUGAGUAAUGCUUAGGAAUCUGCCUAUUAGGGGGGGACAACAUUCCGAAAGGAAUGCUAAUACCGCAUACGUCCUACGGGAGAAAGCAGGGGAUCUUCGGACCUUGCGCUAAUAGAUGAGCCUAAGUCGGAUUAGCUAGUUGGUGGGGUAAAGGCCUACCAAGGCGACGAUCUGUAGCGGGUCUGAGAGGAUGAUCCGCCACACUGGGACUGAGACGCGGCCCAGACUCCUACGGGAGGCAGCAGUGGGGAAUAUUGGACAAUGGGGGGAACCCUGAUCCAGCCAUGCCGCGUGUGUGAAGAAGGCCUUAUGGUUGUAAAGCACUUUAAGCGAGGAGGAGGCUACUGAGACUAAUACUCUUGGAUAGAGGACGUUACUCGCAGAAUAAGCACCGGCUAACUCUGUGCCAGCCGCCGCCGUAA